GGUGCUGCGGGCUCUGCCGAAAGCGCUGAAAUAAAAAACCAUCGCCACUCAGGGAGAACUGAGGCAAGUGGGGCUGAGACUCUGGCGACACCCCCGCCCCCCAGCCUCUGCCCCAGCGCCUGCCGCCCUGCCGCCCUGCCGCACCCCGCCUGCUUGGGUGGCGACCGCGGUUCCGGAACGCGAAGCAGGGCAGAGGGCUGCAGAGAGGCGUGUAGCUUUGUGCGCCAGGACCCGGUGGGGCAGGUGGCAGCCCCGGGCUGUCCGCGCCUCCCAGCAGAGCCGAGCUCGGCGCCGCCCACCGAGCCCACCUCGCGGUCCAGCCGCCGCCAGCGCCUUUCGGCUCUGGCCUGAAGCAGUACUCCCGCCUCCUGGAGCGGGAAAGUCUGGAGACUCACCAAGCUGAGGAGGAAGAAGGGAACAUCUCAACCCAAGCUGAAUUCUGAAGAACACUUGGCCCCAUCUUCCAGAAAUCCUAAAUCACAUAGAGGGAAAGUUUUGGCCAGGGCACCAAGAAUGAACCAGAAGCUGAGUCCAUUACUCCAAUUUUCACAUUAACCAGGAGACACAUUGAAAAUUCUUUUCUUGAGUGAGAGACUGAAAUUUUGGCUCA
rnacentral:lncRNA from 1 species